AUUGAACGCUGGCGGCAGGCCUAACACAUGCAAGUCGAGCGGGGUUUUCGGACCUAGCGGCGGACGGGUGAGUAAUGCGUAGGAAGCUACCCGAUAGAGGGGGAUACCAGUUGGAAACGACUGUUAAUACCGCAUAAUGUCUACGGACCAAAGUGUGGGACCUUCGGGCCACAUGCUAUCGGAUGCGCCUACGUGGGAUUAGCUAGUUGGUGGGGUAAUGGCUCACCAAGGCGACGAUCCCUAGCUGGUUUGAGAGGAUGAUCAGCCACACUGGAACUGAGACACAGUCCAGACUCCUACGGGAGGCAGCAGUGGGGAAUAUUGGACAAUGGGCGCAAGCCUGAUCCAGCCGUGCCGCGUGUGUGAAGAAGGCCUUCGGGUUGUAAAGCACUUUCAGUAGGGAGGAAGAGUUGAGUGUUAAUAGUACUCAGCUUUGACGUUACCUACAGAAGAAGCACCGGCUAACUCUGUGCCAGCCGCCGCAGUAAGAC
rnacentral:rRNA from 1 species